rnacentral:rRNA from 1 species
UACGGGGGGAGCAAGCGUUGUUCGGAUUUACUGGGCGUAAAGGGCGCGUAGGCGGUCAGCACAAGUCAGUUGUGAAAUCUCCGGGCUUAACUCGGAAAGGUCAACUGAUACUGUGCGACUAGAGUGCAGAAGGGGCAACUGGAAUUCUCGGUGUAGCGGUGAAAUGCGUAGAUAUCGAGAGGAACACCUGCGGCGAAGGCGGGUUGCUGGGCUGACACUGACGCUGAUGCGCGAAAG